ensembl:lncRNA
UAUAUGCUAUUAUUUUAUAUUAUAUAACACAAUUGUUCCACUCUGUUUAAUGCACUUUGAACUGCAAUCAGCUGCUAUUUCUACCUGAACUGUACUAUAAAUUACAACUGAGACCACAAGUUUCUGCUUAAGAUGCAAUAUUUGGAUAUCAGAAUGGUAAUUGUGUUGUGUGUCGUGUUGUCUCAGAUAUGUGUUUUGUAAACUGGGUUGAAUGUAUCAUGUUGUGACCAAACACCAAGAAAACUUGCUAAUACAUGUAAAUGUAUAUGUUGAAUCAAAUCAUUCUGAUUGUAAAUUGGUAGGGAUUCUGAAAAGAACGCUUAGAGUGCUAAACCAGUAAGUGUUGGACCAAUACCCAUUCAAAGAAUCCUUGUUCUAAGAUUUUCAAAAAAGUAACUGUCUAGAGAACCUUUGAGGAACACGUGAGCAUUUUUACUUCAAAUCUUACUGAUAAACCUUAAUAAAAGAUACCCAUGGGAGCUAAUCAGGGAGCAAUAACUGAAAAUAGCACUUUGAUCACUUUGUUCUGCUGGAGAACCUGCUGUGGGAACUUGUCCUGAUCCAUAACUCUGAUCACAGAGAUGAGAAGUUGAGAAGAUGAGAUGUCAGGCAAGUGUGAGUGUGACUGUGGUAAUAAUGCUGCUGUCUGUUCUCACUGAGCUCAUCUUCACAAACCAGCCACCUUCCAUUCGUGUCUCUUGUAUUGUAUUAAAGCGUUUAUUGUCCAAUUUAUCAUGCUCGCUUUGUCUGGUCUGAGAAAAACACACUGCUGAGUAUGUAAGGGCUGGCCAGUUGUAACGCGUGUGGGAAGAAUAUUAAAUAAGCAGCAAGAAAAUCACACAAUGCCAUGCUGACAUGUAGGGACAUAUUCCGAGUCUGAAACAUAGGGAACGUACCUUGUAUUCAGAGUUGGGUUACACAGCUGCUUAAGUUGAUUUUCUGGGUUCUAUAGUACAGUCAAAUCACAUCACACCUCCAAGGUUACCAGAUUUUUUUCAAGGAGAAGUGUCCAAGAUGGGGUUCCUCAACAGCGUCUAGACCAGCACCUUUAAACACAAGCAGUUGCCUUUAAGCCUGAAAAAAAUCAAGUGUACAAAGUGGAAGCUCUUUAAAAAGCUAAAACUGUUAUUCAUCCAAAGAACCAUUGAAAAACCCUUUUUUUUUUUUUUUUUUUUGCGAGUGUAGAACCAGUAACCACCCAAAACCCUUUGAAGAACCUUUUUCUUCUUCCUACCUGUAAUAGUGUAGACCUUUGUUGACUUUGGAGUCAACAAGAAGCUUUGAAGCAUGUAGAACCAGUAACCAAACUCCACCUAGCUCCACUACUCCACCAUUUUGAAUAGCUCUUAAGUCUGUAGUUAUGUCUGAGGUAUAAAUGUACUGCUGAAAUUAAAUCAGUAGUGUUUUUAGUGUAAGACAAGUGGUUACCAACCAUGUUCCUCCAACCAUAAUCGUGCCCACGUGACCAUCUAAUCAUUAACUUAAGAAGUGCUUGAUCAACUAAAACGAGUGUGGUAGAUUGUGGUUGGAGAUGAAACCUGCAAGAAAGUAGAUCUCAAGGAAGAGGGUUGGUGACCACUGGUGUAAGAUAUGAGGUGUUUAUCAUAAAUUUCAAAUACCAUCAUACAGAUUUACUUCAUUAGAUCGCAUGUAAAUGGGUUGUUAAUUGCACCACAAUUUGCCCCCUGCUGUGUCUCUACAUAUCUUUUCUGCAGUUCGGGAGAUGUACAGUGACACGGCACGAGUGAUAUGACAGUCUUGUCAGUUUUCAACGAUGGCAAAAGAAGUGCACAUUGAGCCUGGAUUAAGAGUUUAAUGACUGGUAAAAUUGUAGCGCUUGCAUUCAAGGUGACCCCGCUGAGGCGAAGGCAGCCAGAGCAGCAAACGGAGGCUGUGGUGUGCUGACAAUAAUCCGUCCUGCCCUUUUUUUCUCUCUCUCUCUCUCUCUUUCUCUCCUCAUAGCUGUCACCUGCACCAUGCACCAUCACCAAGGCCCAAGCCAUGUAAUUACACUUUUAUUGGCUUUUGAGAAGACCGAACAAUUCAUCCACACGCGAUUCUGCGCUUAGAGACACGAGGCGAAGCGCAUAUAGAUCAUACUUACAGAUCACUCCAAGGGUACAGAGGGAAAGUGGAAAAAAGGAUUGAGUGGAGUGAGUUUGAAACAGGACUGAGUUUUGAUUUAGACCUCAGUGGUUGUAUUGGACGGAUAUCAAGGUUACGCAUGCUUAUCAGCGUCGCUGGAAAUCACACUGAUGGAGCAUGGAUAAUUCCACUUGCAACGUUGUAUUCUAGAAGCCUUUAUUUGUCACAUACACAUGAGAGCACAGUGAAAUUCUUUUUUUUGCACAUUCCUAACAAGCUGGGGUGAGAACGUCAAUCAAUGUCUCUGCCCCUGGAGCUGAGAGGGUUAAGGGCCUUGGUCAAGGGCCUAACUCUGGCAGCUUACAGUGCUGAGACUUGAACCCACAACCUUCUGAUCAGAAAACCAGCCUUAGGAGCAACGUAUACUUAGUAAUUUUUACAUGUACGUUAGCGUAUGUGCGCAGUCGUAUGCAUAGCGUUUCAAAGUAUACUCCAUUUGACAUGUAUGUGUAUGCAGGCAGUCGACAGUUACGCAUUACGACAACUUGUACUACCCUUCCUGGCCUACAAGAGUCAGUACAGAGCAAUAAAGCAGGUCUUUUAUUAUACCCAAUCAUGUUACUGACCUGUUGGCAAUUAACCUCCAGCCGUUUCUUUUUACGAACACUUACUUUCCCAGCAUUUAUUGCCCCCGUCCCAACUUUUCUGAAACGAUUUGCGGCCAUCGAAUUCAAAAUUACUUUAUUCUUUUUCUUAAAAUGGUACAUUUACCCAGUUUAAACAUUUGAUAUGUUUUCUAUGUUCUAUUGUGAAUAACAGGUGGGUUUAUGAGAAUUUGCAAAUCAUUGCAUUCUGUUUUUAUUGACAUUUUACACAGCGUCCCAUCUUUUUUGGAAUCGGAGUUUUACACAGAUGUAAAUGAAAACAGACAAACCGAAUUUUCCUCUGAAUACGCUAUUAAUGAGGAUGAACAACUGGCUGCUGGAAAAACUCAAGAACAAUCAUUCAAAUCUGUUGUUCCCUCGAGCAAGGACAACAUGCAAAUGGGAAUUGUCCGCAGAGUGCUAAGAAUGAAUACAACAUUAGGAAUAAAUAACUGAACUGGGAAACAAACUUCAAAAAAAUCAUAAAAUUGGGAAAGUUAGCUCGCUUAUUAGCAAAAUUAAUAAACUAAUUUUAGUAUUUACACACAGCGGUUAGCAUAACGUUAGCUCACUUCUGUUAAUUUUAGUAUUUACACACAGCGGUUAGCAUAACAUUAGAUCGCUUAGGCUAAUUUUAGUAUUUACACACAGCGGUUAGCAUAACAUUAGAUCGCUUAGGCUAAUUUUAGUAUUUACACACAGCGGUUAGCAUAACAUUAGAUCGCUUAGGCUAAUUUUAUUAUGUACACACAGCGGUUAGCAUAACAUUAUAUCGCUUAGGCUAAUUUUAGUAUUUACACACAGCGGUUAUCAUAACAUUAGAUCGCUUAGGCUAAUUUUAGUAUUUACACACAGCGGUUAGCAUAACAUUAUACCGCUUAGGCUAAUUUUAGUAUGUACACACAGCGGUUAGCAUAACAUUAUAUCGCUUAGGCUAAUUUUAGUAUUUACACACAGCGGUUAGCAUAACAUUAGAUCGCUUAGGCUAAUUUUAGUAUUUACACACAGCGGUUAGCAUAACAUUAGAUCGCUUAGGCUAAUUUUAGUAUUUACACACAGCGGUUAGCAUAACAUUAUAUCGCUUAGGCUAAUUUUAGUAUUUACACACAGCGGUUAGCAUAACGCUAGCUCGCUUCUAUCAAUUCUACCACGGUAGUUACCGGUAUACACUGUAACCCUACACUGGACAUGAGGUGGAACUACACCUUGAGGAUUAUAAUUUAUUAUUUUAUUCCCUUAAGAGUUUUUAUUCUAGCAACACAUCUAAGUUAUAAUGGAAAUAGUAUAAUGUUUGCAGCUUGGGCAUAUUUAGAGAAUGCUUCUGGUGAUCCAUUCCAUGCAUGGACGGAGAUGCCAACAUGUAGCUGUAGAAUUUACUAUUGCGGUGAUACUGGAGACACCUGAAACGUACACUUUUCUGCUUUUUCAGAUAAAGCAGCGGUAAGAUCUAUCACAAAUACCGUAUAAUUGGCAGAAAAGCAAACGUGAAAGGUGCUUUUGCUUCUCGUUGCAGCUACUUAUUUUUUUUCUUUACGACGACUUAUUGUGGGUGAGAUGUAAACUCACAAGCCUGAGCCAAUUCUCUCUUUGCUUGGUAAAAAAAGUGGAGAAGCUGCUAAUUAUUAAGUAGCAUCACAUUGGACUUUUGACUCGCUGUUUUCUUACACAUCUGAAAAAAAAAAAUAGCCAUGUCAUCCACUUUCAUAUGCUAAUAUAUUGUAAAAUUCUGUUGUUGUUUGUUUUUUUUUGUUUUUUUUUUUUAAAUCUAUGCUUGGUAGAAUUUUCUUGUUAACAAUAUUGGCACCUCUGCAAGGACGAUCUGGAAAAUCACCAAAGUACAAAAUUGGGUUGAAUCUAGUAUCCUAAUAACGCCUUAAACCCUACAGAAAAAAGUUGCACUUAGAUCUCCUUUAUAAAGCAACAACCCCCCCCAAAGACCCCUUGAGGAACCUUAUUACUAAGCCUGGACUUCUUGCUGUAGCUCUGACCUUUCCAGCUUCAUAGUUUUUCCCCUGAUAAAUGAAUCAGCAUGGAUGGUGUGAUGGUGUGAGCCGCAAAUGAACCGAUUCACUUAUUGUGUUAACAUUGCAGAACCAUGAUGUGUUUAGGAGUCAUGAGGAAGCACAUGUUUGAUGAUAUUACUUCAGGAUGUUACCGCAGGUCAGUUAUUUGCACUCAGCGUGGAUAGACAGGCAUUAGCGGGUACAAUAGUGACACCUGAGAGUCGGGCUUCGCCUGCCAGAGCCAGGCUCGACACCAUUAGCUGGGGUGAUGCAUUAAAGUUCUGUUCGGCGUGUAAUUUGUUUUCUCUGUCAAGGUGAUGGAUGUCUUGUUCAGCGGCACUUCCUGUGUGUGUUGUAAGAAAAUAAAUAAAUAAAGCGAGGAAGAAAACAAUAGCUCCAGGACAUUGGUAAAUGGGCUUAAAAAAUGUUAGGAGAAUAUUUAUAUAUAUAUAUGUUUUAGGUAACAGGGUGUGUGUUUUUUUGGAAGGUUAAUUGACAAGGAUAGCAGCAGGAGGGCUGGUGCCUGUAAUUAAAGGUGAAAAGGUAAUGUAAGAGAAGGAGAAGGAGGGCAGACAAGUGGCCUGAAUGACGUGCAGACUGGUGACAACGUGAUGUGAAUGGUUUCCUCUGGAUAUGUGAGUGUGAAUGAGAGGUGUGUUGUGGCAGGGGUAUUUAUCACCUGCCAUUCUCACUGUAUACCUGCAGCAUCUCACCUUCACAACACCUUCAGUGUCACAAAUGUCUCUCUCUCUCUCUCUCUCGUCCUUGCUCACCUCCAUCCAUUUUUUAUCCCUCAAUACUUCGCACAGUUUAAACGCUAAACUGGAUUGCCAGGUAUUUGCUGAAGCUGGGGUUUUAUGUAUUUAACACAUCUCGGCAAUCCCAGCAUUACACGUGUGACAUUUAAACUGGUAUCGGAGUGUCUAAUUGCCUGAACAAGCCUAGCAUGAGGAAGACAGUUUCACAAAUAUUUAACAUUACACCCCAGCGCUGUCGACUUCUUGAUUUCCGAUCGGUCAGAUGGUGAUUAAUAAUCUCCAGCAACAGCAGCUCUGACGGUAGUCAACUGCAAAUCACAGGUUUAUGCUUGUUCUAAUACAACCCCGAUUCCAAAAAAAGUUGGGACGCUGUGUAAAAUGUAAGCAAAUGUCAAUAAAAACCGAAUGCAGUGAUUUGCAAAUCGCAUCAAUCCAUAUGUUAUUCACAAUAGGACAAAUGUUUAAAGUGAGUAAAUGUACCAUUUAAAGAAACAGAUAAGGUGAUUUUGAAUCUGAUGGCCGCAACACGUCUCAAAAAAAGUUGGGACAGGGACAAAAAAAAGGCUGGAAAAGUAAGGGUUACUGAAAAGAAACAGCUGGAGGAACAUUUUGUAACUAAUUAGGUGAAGUAGCAGCAGGUCAGUAAGAUGAUUGGGUAUAAAAAGAGUAUCUUAGAGAGACAGAGUCUCUCAGAAGUAAAGAUGGGAUGGAAUCUGGAUGGAAGCAGAUGUUGCUCUAAAACAUGUAUAUACCUUUCAGCAUUGAUGGUGCCUUUCCAGAUGUGCAAGCUUUCCAUUCCAUAAGCACUAAUGCACCCCGAACCAUCAGAGACGCAGGCUUAUGAACUGAGCGCUGAUGAAAAAAGCCGGAUGGUCCCUCCCCUCUUUAGUCCGCUUUAGUUUAGAGGACACGGAGUCCAUAGUUUCCAAUAAGAAUUUAAAAUUGUGAUUCUUCUGACCACACAACAGUUUUCCACUCAGUCUCAGUCCAUUUUAAAUGAGCUUUGGCCCGGGGAAGACGAUGGCUUUUCUGGAUCAUGUUCACAUAUGGCUUCUUCCUUGCAUGAUAGAGCUUUAACCAGCAUUUGUGGAUGUCAUGGUGAACUGUGUUCACAGAAAGUGAGUUCUGGAGGUGGUUCUGAGCCCAUGCAGUGAUUUCCAUUACAGAAUCAAGCCUAUUUUUUGAUGCAGAACCUUACAAUUGGCUCUGUGAAGAAAUGUGUAUUUAGCAUUUGUGGAAGGAGUCUCCAAUGUCAGCACUGUACAGAAUUCAGAGGUAAAGGUGUAACUUUGUGGUUAAAAUUUUAAGGUGUCUCUAUGUAGUGUGCACUGAUAGACAGGACACAAAUGCAUUAACUCAGUGUGUGCUUUAUUUAAGACACUCCAAGAAUCAUAAUCAUUACCAAUGUCUGUAGGCAAAAUUAAACAAGGAUAAUCUACAAUAAAUAAAAAAAACAGACAAAGGUCAAGAUCGGGAAGUACAAAACUCAAAAACAUGGCUUGGAAUUAAAAUAACAAUAAAUGCAUUACAAUACUUAUGAAAGUAACUAUGACACAACUGAGUAUAAAUAUCCAUCCAUCCAUCCAUCCAUCCAUCUUCUACUGCUUACUCCUUUUAAGGGUCACAGGGAACCUGGAGCCUAUCCCAGGGAGCAUCGGGCACAAGGCAGGGUACACCCUGGACAGGGUGCCAGUCCAUCGCAGGGCACAAUCACAUACACACUCACACGGAGUAUAAAUAUAUGCAAGCUAAUUAAAGACUAAACACAGAACAGGUGAACACACUAGGGCAACAAACUAGAGACUUAACCAAAACAGAAAGAAAGACACAUGGCAAUGUAAACAAAAGCACAUGUUGUGAAAGCAGAGAAAGUAAAUAAAUAAAAACCGUUGGCCAAUUUCUUUAGUGUAAAAUGUAUAAAAAAUAAGUAAAUAAAAAUUAUAAGACAAUAAUUAACUUCCAGGAAGUAGCAGUAACUUCUCACACCACCGAACCAUGAUGAUUUCCCUGUAAAAACAUGUCCCCAAAUGUUUGUACUCUAUUCCUUACUUAUCAGCUUUAUGAAAGUGACAUUGCAUGGACAGAGUGAAAUUCAACCUUUGAAUAAGAUUAAGAUUAAGAUAUGUGUGUUGAUGUAAACAUAACUGGGAGAAAAAUAAAAUCUUGUAUUACAGGUGUGACACUUUUUUUCUUAAGAAUGGUCACAUGUCUGAAAUAUCCCUUCACAUAUUAUAGCCAUUACAUCUGAAAUAGAAAUAAAACAACGAGCUAAAAAUAAAUUAGCUUAAAUAUAGACUUAAGUGUACACUUUAAGACAGUACGGUUUACGUUAGACGUCCAGGUUUUAUUCAGUAGAUUAAAUAUUUAUGUGUUAUAUAGACAACAACAGUUUAUAGUCUACAGCAAACAUGGUGCAGUGUAGCUAACAUAUAAAUCAGUGGAUUACAUGCGGUAGCUUUUCAGCACGUGAUGGAAAAAAAGGAUUAUCGUGAGUGAAUUGUUGUGGAAGAAUUGCAAAUUCACUUUCUUUGUCAAUGAGUCAAGGACAUGGCUGUGAUUUUAAAAGUGGAUCGUUUGUUGUGUUUCGCAAUAAUGUUAAGCUCAAAAAGCAAACGGUCCUACUCUCAUGAGGAGUCCAGACUAGCAUUAGCCUACCAUGAGCUACCAUGACAGGAUAUUUAUUCAGGAUUUGUCAUAUACUAAUGAUAACAAGGUGGCAACUAGGCCACCUGAGUGUUUGUUUUUUUUUUCUUCUUAUGUACAAGACAUCUUGUUUUGUUGUGAUAUACAGAACGCUUACAUAAUCCGGGAUAAAUGUUUGUGCAGAAGAAUGCUCAUUAAACAUGAUAUUAUUCUGACAUGGAUUGGCACCCUGUCCAGGGUGUACCCCGCCUUGUUCCCGAUGCUCCCUGGGAUAGGCUCCCGGUUCCCCGGGACCCUGAAGAGGAUAAGCGGUAUAGAGGAUAGAUGGAUGGAUGGAUAGAUGGAUGGAUUAUUCUGACAUUCAUUUUGGUCAAAUAAGAAUGUUUACUUUACGUCGAGCAUGAACAAGUAUAGUCUGAAGUAUGUGUGCUAGUUUUAGCAGUUAUAAUGUACACAUAUAAUAUAUAUAAUUAUAUGUGUACACCAUGUCCAGUGUGUCCCCUGCCUUGUGUCCUGAGUUCCCUGGGUUAUGCUCCAUGCUUCACACGACCCUGUGUAAGAUAAGCAGCAUUGAAACCGGAUAGAUGAAUGGGAUGCCUGAAAUAUCAUUUUUGGACAAUUUCUACUAACACUCUACAUGAAAAUCUCCCAAUAUGUCCAUUCAGAUACGGUGUAUAAAUAGAAGCCACCCCCUUGCCUUUGACCUCAAAUCGAGCCCGACAUUUAUCUGUAUUAAAGCUAGAACCUUCAAUCCAUGAACCGGAUCAUGGAUGCUGCCACAUGCUUCUGUUUGUUUUUGUUCUUUUUCAUACUGAAAAGUGGAGGCAUGUGAGUCUACUGUCACGUAGCUUCUGCUUCAUCUCUGUUUACACACUGCAGAGAUAAUGUGUGACAACUGAAUCUCUUCACUCGUCUAAUCCAUGAAGCCACGGAUGAAAUCUCAUUUAGGGAUCAGCAGCAGUGGCAUCGUUUUCCCGAUAAGAACCUGCAACUCUGCAUGCAGCGGCUGGCACCAGCCAUUCAGCACAAAUACCAUUUGGCAGAGCCCAGGACGUAAAACAGCCCUAUUUCAAUUAAUGGAGCGACACCUCAGCUUCUCAGGACUGUGUUUGCCAGACUGGAUCGUGUCGUAUAAUCUCCUCAUUUAUUCUCAAAGCAGUCUAUUAAGGCGUGAAAUGAUGCCAACCAAAAAGAAAAAGCACGGCCUUCUCGAAGAGUCAAGGAUUAUUCAAAUGGGGAGCUCUAAGACAGUGGGUUCAGACUUUUUAAUUUUUAUUUUUUAUUUUUUAUUUUUAUUUUUUACUUUGUUCUUGCUUUCCUUUUUUUCAUGUGAGAAUGGAGCCACGUCACAAAUCAGAACAUCUGGCAGCUUGAGAUGAGUUAAAACAAAAUGGAAAAUGUUGCCAUCCAGUGUAUUGUGAACAUAUGAUUAAACCAGAGACAUUUUUUUUGAAAGAUUAUACCCUUCAUAUUGUCAAAUCGCAGGUUUAUAUUAAUGUGUACACUCUAAUAUGUUAUCAUUUCUAUAGUAACGACUCGUUCACAGGUGAAUACUCUACAUAAACGGAUUAAAAAUGUCUGCAAUUGUACUGAUAGUGCAGUUUUAUAUAAGGAGGAGUCUCCAGUGUCAGUGCUUGUAAAAGUCAGAGGUAUAGCUGUAACGUUGAGUUUUUACACCUUCAAGAAAUAGAUGUUUACGUUUUUGGCUUUCCCCUGGCAAGUGCACAACCAUGCCAAACAUUUGGUGUUUUCCCACUACAUACUGUAAACUCCACCACACUGCCUGUUUUCCAUACAUCCUAAUAACCUGCACCUCUUCCGUUAUUCCACACUGCAUGCCAAGCCAGCUUCUUCCAGGAUGCAAUGAAAUUCUUAAGGAACCUGUCACUUCCCAUGAAGCUGAACUCCGGAGAGAUGCUACUCCUCGGAGGAGUGAAGUGACUCAGGCAGCCUGACUGACUGUUGAUGGUCCUACUCAAUCUUCGCCAUGCACAACUAGCUGCUGACUGGCAUUGCGCGGAACAGAUCACCCUGAUGGCACUAUUUGCACAACGAUUACUUUGCCGCAUGUUUUGAAGAGAGGCCAAGAUUUUUGGCUCUUCUUGAAGCAGUCUAAAUAAUGCACUUCACUAAUGGAGACAAAAUCACUCGGUUAUUAAAGUGAAUUUAUAAUGAUGCAACAAGCAAUUAGCACAUUUACACAGCAUUUCGUGUAAUGAAUCUCAUGAAAUAUUGACUUCACCAGUUGCUUCAUCUUUUUUGUUAGAGCUCUGCGGUUAGCGUUUAGCAGCUACUGAUUGCACAUAGAUGCACAUGAAAGCACAGAAAAACAUAGUCUGUGUAAGGAAUGAGACACUUCGGGAUGUGCUGUUACGGGGAAAUAAUCAACGACAGGGUUGAUGUGAGAAAGUAGAGUUACUGUUCCUACCCAACAAAAGAUUAUUUUCCACCAACAACAGCAUGUCGCAAAGUAUUUUAUUCUUUUAUACCACAGGCAACUUUCUGAUGAUUGCAAUACUUUUUUUUUUAUCCGUUUAUAAUUGCAUUUAAUGUUGUAAAGACAGCAUAUCCAUGAGCUGUCAGUAAACUGUGGCUGUGAUGAAAGAAUUGUUUCACCCCAUCAGAGAGCUUGGUCUGGGUUAGAACAUCUGGGCAGCAUUGAAAAUUGUCAAUUCGAGAAGAUUCCAAACUGCUGUUUUGAUACGAUUUGACUGGUUCCAUUACUACAGAGUAAGAGUGAAUAUAAAAGAGCUAUUUGUCCGAGCCAAACUGAAAUUGCAUGUAAAAAAAAAAGCUGUAAAACUUAAUGAAAGAUAAAGGGCAUCCUACUGAGUUCAACAGCACAAAGCUUUUCUACUGACACACAUCUCACUCCUUUCUGAUCUUAGGAAAUCCAUCAUAAAAGCAUGAAAAUGGUGACGAGCUGUACGAAUGGAUACCUGAUCAUAAAUAAUUCAGAGCUAAGCUGUGCAUGUUGAAGUGGAACACAAUAAGGAGAGCUCCAUGUGUGUUAAAGUGUGCGUGGAUGUGCAAGAAUAGCUGCUUGAAGCAGUGAGGGGAAAAAAAAAACAACAUAACUUUCUUUUACAUCAUGGUGUUUGCCUUCACACAGUCGCCCACGGUGGCAGGAGCUCUUUCUGAUACCCUGUAGCUCUCCCUUAUGGAAGCUGUUUAAGGAAGGAGCAUUAUUAAGGGAGGGUUGUUUUUGUUUCAGAGGAUGAUGUCCCUGUAGCUGUGUUCUCUCUCGCAUUGCACUGAUCUCCAUCUCCCCUCCCAGAUGGUUAUAUUUGGCUUGCUCUCAAAAGCAUAUGGCUUCUUUAUGUUACCCAUACUACUGAAACACUGCAGCUUCAGAUUAGAGUGGCUGGCAC